rnacentral:rRNA from 1 species
UACAGAGGGUGCUAGCGUUGUUCGGAAUCAUUGGGCGUAAAGGGCGUGUAGGCGGUUUGUUAAGUCAUGUGUGAAAUCCCUCGGCUCAACCGGGGAACGACGCAUGAAACUGGCAAGCUAGAGUACCAAAGAGGGGGGUGGAAUUCCCGGUGUAGCGGUGAAAUGCGUAGAGAUCGGGAGGAACACCAAUUGCGAAGGCAGCACUCUGGGACGUGACUGACGCUGAGACGCGAAAGCGUGGGGAGCAGACAGG